AUGACUAGCGGGACAAGCCUCAAAUUAACCGCAGGAUUUCCAGUAGGGUGUCUGGAGCUUCAGUGCUCUGUGCUCUUGGCCUCCACACUGGGGGUGCCACCAACUCCCACUGUCCAGGGCUUCCAGUGGACUCUCCGAGGACUGAUGUAGAAACGUCCCCAUUCGGUGCACCAAGAGCAGCCUCACACGGUGUGGGCCAACAGGAAGAGCUGCCAGAUCCAACAGAGUAUGAAGAGUGCAAAGACCUCAUAAAAUCUAUGCUGAGGGAUAAGCUUCAGUUUAAGGAGGAGAAGGUUGCAGAGCAGCUCAGGCAGGCUAAGGAGCUCAGGCAAUAUAAAGUCCUGGUUCACUCUCAGGAACGAGAGCUGACCCAGUUAAGGGAGAUGUUAUGGGAAGGGAGAGAUGCCUCCUGCUCAUCGAAUCAGCAUGUCCAGGCCCUCCUCGCUCCGGAUGAGCCAGACAAGUCCCAGGGCAGGACCUCCAAGAACAGCUGGCUGAAGGGUGUAGGCUGGCACAGCACCUUGUCCAAAAGCUCAGCCCAGAAAAUGAUGAAGAUGAGGAUGAAGAUGUUAAAGUUGAGGAGGCAGAGAAAGUACAGGAAUCAUGUGCCCCCAGGGAGGUGCAGAAGGCUGAAGAAAGGGAAAUCCCUGAGGACUCACUGGAGGUGUGUGCCGUCCCUUGUUCAAAUAGCACAGCCCCUGUGACUCCAACAAGCCACACAGAAACACCAAAAUCACAUUUGAGGAAGACAAAGUCGACUCAACUGUCAUUGACUCAUCCUCUCAGGAUGAAUGGGAGGAUGUUGUACAAAUUAUCCCAGAAAAUGAAAGUGAUCAUGAAGAAGAGGAAGAAAAAGGGCCAGUGUCUCCCAGUUACAAAUUGUCGUUAUUAACAAUGUGUGUUAUUUGUGGCACUUCAGAAGCAACAGGUCCUAGGCUCAGCAGGGAGCUACUGGAUGAGAAAGAGCUGAAGUCUUACAGGACUCACUGGAUAGAUGUUAUUCGACUCCUCCUGGUUAUCUUGAACUGCCUGACUUAUGUCAGCCCUACAGAAGUGCCUCUUACUCAUUAGAGGAACAGCACCUUGGCUUGGCUCUUGACGUGGACAGAAUUACAAAGGAAGAAGAGGAAGAAGACCAAGGCCCACCAUGCCCCAGGCUCAGCAGGGAACUGCUGGAGGUAGUAGAGCCUGAAGUCUUGCAGGACUCACUGAAUAGUUAUUAUUCGACUCCUUCCAGUUAUCUUGAACUACCAAAUUCAGGCCAGUCCUACGGAAAUUCCUUUUACUCAUUGGAGGAAUAACACAUUGGCUUUUCUCUUGAUGUGGACGAAAUUGACAAGUACCAAGAAGGGGAAGAAGAUCAAAACCCACCAAAUUCAAAACCCAUCAAA